CGGACGGGUGAGUAAUGUCUGGGAAACUGCCUGAUGAGGGGGAUAACUACUGGAAACGGUAGCUAAUACCGCAUAACGUCGCAAGACCAAAAGAGGGGGGACCUUCGGGCCUCUUGCCAUCGGAUGUGCCCAGAUGGGAUUAGCUAGUAGGUGGGGUAACGGCUCACCUAGGCGACGAUCCCUAGCUGGUCUGAGAGGAUGACCAGCCACACUGGAACUGAGACACGGUCCAG
rnacentral:rRNA from 1 species